UCAUCUGACGCUGCCAUGAGCAACAGGCUUCUCUGCUGUUUUGUCCUUUUUCUUCUCAGAGUAGACCUCAAGGAUGCUGUAGUCACACAGUUCCCAAGACACAAGAUCUCGAAGACAGGAAAGGAAUUAACUCUACAGUGUUCACAAAAACAGAAUCAUUAUUCAAUGUACUGGUACCGCCAAGACCCAGGAUUUGGACUGCGGCUGAUCUAUUACUCAACUGGUACCAACACCACUGAGAAAGGAGAUGUCCCUGAGGGGUAUCGUGUCUCUCGAAAUGAGUUGGAAUAUUUCCCCCUGACCCUGAAGUCUGCCAGCACCAGCCAGACAUCGGUGUACUUCUGUGCCAGCAGUGAAUCCACAGAGCAGUAUUUUGGCCCAGGCACCAGGCUCACGGUCAUAGACGACCUGAGCAAGGUGACCCCACCCAAGGUGGCUGUGUUCGAGCCGUCAGCAGCAGAGAUCUCCCGGACCCAGAAGGCCACGCUUGUGUGCCUGGCCACGGGCUUCUACCCCGACCACGUGGAGCUGAGCUGGUGGGUGAACGGGAAGCAGGUCGAGACAGGGGUCAGCACGGACCCUCAGCCCCACAAGGAGGACCCCAGCCGCAAUGACUCCAGCUACUGUCUGAGCAGCCGGCUGAGGGUCUCCGCCAGCUUCUGGUACAACCCUCGCAACCUCUUCCGCUGCCAAGCCUGGUUCCACGGGGUCUCGGACGAGGACGAGUGGAAGCAGGACAGGCCCAAACCCGUCACCCAGAACAUCAGUGCCGAGGUCCGGGGCCGAGCAGACUGUGGCCUCACCUCGGCGUCCUACCAGCAAGGGGUCCUGUCUGCCACCAUCCUCUAUGAGAUCCUGCUGGGGAAGGCCACCCUCUAUGCUGUGCUGGUCAGCGCCCUGGUGCUGAUGGCCAUGGUUAAGAAAAAGGAUUCCUGAGACCAGCUCCAAAAGUGCAUCCUGAGUCAUUCUUCAUCCUCUCCUUGGAUGUUCCUUAACAUGUUUCCAGUCUGUGUUCCUCAAGGGUUUCUCUCUCUCCACCUUCUUUUAUCUCCUUCCUACUUGGAUAUCUGUCCCUUCUCUCAGCUUCCCUGCAGACUGAGCUCCUCCCCACUGAAUCUGAAAUUGAUUAAAGUAAUAAAAGUGUCAUGGUGGGCUUGACUGU